UAAAACCAGCACCUCAAGUGGUCAGGAUGAUUAUUGGGCCUAAAGCAUCCGUAGCCGGCUCAGUAAGUUUUCGGUUAAAUCUGUACGCUUAACGUACAGGCUGCCGGGAAUACUGCAGAGCUAGGGAGUGGGAGAGGUAGACGGUACUCGGGAGGAAGUGGUAAAAUGCUUUGAUCUUUCGAUGACCACCUGUGGCGAAGGCGGUCUACCAGAACACGUCCGACGGUGAGGGAUGAAAGCUGGGGGAGCAAACCGGAUUAGAUACCCGGGUAGUCCCAGCUGUAAACUAUGCAAACUCAGUGAUGCAUUGGCUUGUGGCCAAUGCAGUGUUGCAGGGAAGCCGUUAAGUUUGCCGCCUGGGAAGUACGUACGCAAGUAUG
rnacentral:rRNA from 2 species